UUAAAGAUUUUGUGUGGGUGUGUGGAAAUGAUAUGUUGAAAUUUAUAGGUGUAUGUAUGUUUGUUAAUGUGUGAAUGUCUUUCCGUAUUAAUAGGGGUGGUUCCCUGCUUUGUAUGUGGGCUUGCAACUGGACUAUAUAAUAAUUAGCAUCCAGCUUGGGUUUUGUUGAAGUGUAAAUCUUGUGGGAGGAGACUAUAAAGAAGUGUAAGAAAUGAUUUGCAUGGAAGCUUAUUAAAAGGAGAAGCCAAAAUCAAACUUAAGAAUCAUUAGGAGGAGUAUUAAAAUGGGAAACAAUCAAGGAGGAGUAUUGAGGAAGAGUCCUCUGGGUUGUGUAAUUGCCCACUGGAAAGAUAUUGUUGGGACCGGAGGUACGGAAAGUAAAAAGAACCUUAUUAAAUACUGCAAUCAAUGGUGGCCGUUGUAUAAGUUAGAAGGUGAUGCUAAGUGGCCACUUAAUGGGUCAAUAGAUUAUAAUACUCUAUUACAACUAAUGCUGUUUUUAAGGAGAGAAGGAAAAUGGGAUGAGGUUUCGUAUGCACACAUGUUUUUCACCCUCCGAAACCAUCCGGAGUGGCAAAGGGACCGUGGAAUGGUCCCCCCACAGGACCCCAUGGUGCUCGCAUUUGAGCGAGAGAACAACAAGGAGCCUAGAGGUAAACUGAGGCGGUGUUGUUCGGCAUG